AGAGUUUGAUCCUGGCUCAGGAUGAACGCUGGCGGCGCGCUUAACACAUGCAAGUCGAACGAGGUCCAUGGAGCUUGCUCCGGAAGAUCUAGUGGCGAACGGGUGCGUAACACGUGAGAAACCUGCCCCGAUCUCUGGGAUAACAGUUGGAAACGACUGCUAAUACCGGAUGCCGUCACACCGCUUCAUGGCGGAGUGCCGAAAGAUUUAUCGGAUUGGGAGGGUCUCGCGGCCUAUCAGCUAGUUGGAGAGGUAACGGCUCACCAAGGCAUCGACGGGUAGCUGGUCUGAGAGGAUGAUCAGCCACACUGGGACUGAGACACGGCCCAGACUCCUACGGGAGGCAGCAGUGGGGAAUCUUGCACAAUGGGCGAAAGCCUGAUGCAGCAACGCCGCGUGCGGGAAGAAGGCCCUAGGGUUGUAAACCGCUUUCAGUAGGGAAGAAAAUGACGGUACCUACAGAAGAAGGUGCGGCCAACUACGUGCCAGCAGCCGCGGUGACACGUAGGCACCAAGCGUUAUCCGGAUUUAUUGGGCGUAAAGAGCUCGUAGGCGGUUCGGUAAGUCGGGUGUGAAAACUCUGGGC
rnacentral:rRNA from 1 species